ensembl:snoRNA
UGGACCAGUGAUGGGAAUAUGUUCUGAAUCAAAAAUCACAUUUAAUCUAAUUUGGCACAACUGAGGUAAUU